CACGGGGGCAACCCUGGUGGCGAGUGGCGAACGGGUGAGUAAUACAUCGGAACGUGUCCUGUAGUGGGGGAUAGCCCGGCGAAAGCCGGAUUAAUACCGCAUACGCUCUACGGAGGAAAGGGGGGGAUCUUAGGACCUCCCGCUACAGGGGCGGCCGAUGGCAGAUUAGCUAGUUGGUGGGGUAAAGGCCUACCAAGGCGACGAUCUGUAGCUGGUCUGAGAGGACGACCAGCCACACUGGGACUGAGACACGGCCCAGACUCCUACGGGAGGCAGCAGUGGGGAAUUUUGGACAAUGGGGGCAACCCUGAUCCAGCAAUGCCGCGUGUGUGAAGAAGGCCUUCGGGUUGUAAAGCACUUUUGUCCGGAAAGAAAACGCCGUGGUUAAUACCCGUGGCGGAUGACGGUACCGGAAGAAUAAGCACCGGCUAACUACGUGCCAGCAGCCGCGGUAAUACGUAGGGUGCAAGCGUUAAUCGGAAUUACUGGGCGUAAAGCGUGCGCAGGCGGUCCGCUAAGACAGAUGUGAAAUCCCCGGGCUUAACCUGGGAACUGCAUUUGUGACUGGCGGGCUAGAGUAUGGCAGAGGGGGGUAGAAUUCCACGUGUAGCAGUGAAAUGCGUAGAGAUGUGGAGGAAUACCGAUGGCGAAGGCAGCCCCCUGGGCCAAUACUGACGCUCAUG
rnacentral:rRNA from 1 species